AUUGAACGCUGGCGGCAGGCCUAACACAUGCAAGUCGAGCGGAUGAAGGGAGCUUGCUCCUGGAUUCAGCGGCGGACGGGUGAGUAAUGCCUAGGAAUCUGCCUGGUAGUGGGGGAUAACGUCCGGAAACGGGCGCUAAUACCGCAUACGUCCUGAGGGAGAAAGUGGGAGAUCUUCGGACCUCACGCUAUCAGAUGAGCCUAGGUCGGAUUAGCUAGUUGGUGGGGUAAAGGCCUACCAAGGCGACGAUCCGUAACUGGUCUGAGAGGAUGAUCAGUCACACUGGAACUGAGACACGGUCCAGACUCCUACGGGAGGCAGCAGUGGGGAAUAUUGGACAAUGGGCGAAAGCCUGAUCCAGCCAUGCCGCGUGUGUGAAGAAGGUCUUCGGAUUGUAAAGCACUUUAAGUUGGGAGGAAGGGCAGUAAGUUAAUACCUUGCUGUUUUGGCGUUACCAACAGAAUAAGCACCGGCUAACUUCGUG
rnacentral:rRNA from 1 species